rnacentral:tRNA from 1 species
GCCGGAGUAGCUCAGCUGGCAGAGCAGCGGUUUCGUAAACCGCAGGUCGUCGGUUCGAGUCCGACCUCCGGCUCCA